ensembl:lncRNA
GCUUCUCAUUGGCUAAGCUGAGGCCCUUUUCAUUGGCUGGGCUUGUUGCUGGGCGAUGGGAGUUUUCCAUCCUCCUGCUAGGGUAGUAGAGUAGUUGCACUUCCUGAUGGAGUUAGUACCUGAUGUCUUCCUGUUGGGCAAGGACCAAAGAAAGAGCCAGACUUGUCAAGUUGCAGUGAUCGUAUUUUAUUGAUUCGUUACAGAUUCCGUAUCAUUGAGGUCCUCACUUAAGAGUUGUUUCUAGAAAUGAGAAGAUGGAACUAACGGAUGGAAGAAUGCACACCUGAAUGUGUCAGCGGAUGGGGGCUUUGAUGAUGCUAGACUUGUGUCUACAAGGCAGGGAGAAUUUUCGUUGGUUAGUAUCAUUCAGGGCGGUUCAUAUGGGCUAUACUGAUGCACAACCAGCUGUUCUAGCAGUCCUAAUAGGUGCUUUCUUGACUUUAUCCAAAUGUCUCCGUAUUCCCCCAAAUCCAACCAAGCUCUCUCAUUAAGUCUCAGCCAUUGUGACCAUCAUCUAUCACAGGUCCUUUUACCAAGAGGGCCCAUGUCAUGGCCACAUGUCUCCAUAUAUAAAAGGGAGUGGUGAGUGGGCUGCUUGGGACAAAUAGAGAUGGAGUGAGGGAGGGGGAGCUGACCGAGGCUGCUGUUUCAACAAGAAACCCACUGCUGGCCAGAGUUGGGAAAUGUAAGAGGAUGGUGAAAUCCCAUAGACAUAAGUGUUCAAGAUGCCAUCGAAAGGACUUACCACAGAGACAGAAAGCAAUGAAGUUAUGUCAGGAAAAACCCAAGAAGCCAAGUCAGCUACAUAUGCCAUUGUCCUGAUUGAAGAAGAUGAUUGAACCAGUGUCUUUCAAUGUCAUGUUUUCUUUCAAGGUCGGCAGAAAGAAAAACCUCUUUUACUUCAAGCCCAAGACCACCACCAUCAUCACUGACUCCUCUUCUCUGCCCCAGGGUCUCUAAAUAAACUUUCUCUCCUUUCACUGACAAACAGUGUUCUGUUUAGUUGGAGAGUGACCUGUGGCAAUCUGGAAAACUGCCCCCACCUUUUGUUAGUGUUAUAGAGCAAGUGGAAUGUGAUGAAUAGAGGCAUAAUCAAGUGAGUCAGGAGGAAAGAUGUAGUUUUCUCCUUUGUUCCGGUUUAAGAGAUUUGCUAAUGAAAUGUGUGUUUGGGUUGUGGUUUGGGAUAGGUUGUAAGGGUUUCUGGCUAUGAAAAGAGCCUACUUGUUUUUUGAUGGACCUUCUAAACUGGCUGGGCUGGAGGGUACAAUAACCAGAAAGCUUGUAACCAGAUCAACAUUAGCUCAUACUUCUAGUUUCACUUGUUGGUAAUUAGUUAUGAAGAUACCCAUUUUUCUAGAAAC